rnacentral:rRNA from 1 species
UACGUAGGAGGCAAGCGUUAUCCGGAAUGACUGGGCGUAAAGGGUGCGUAGGUGGUCUGACAAGUUGGUAGCGUAAUCCCGGGGCUCAACUUCGGUGCUACUACCAAAACUGUUGGACUUGAGUGCAGGAGGGGCAUAUGGAAUUCCUAGUGUAGCGGUGGAAUGCGUAGAUAUUAGGAGGAACACCAGUGGCGAAGGCGAUAUGCUGGACUGUAACUGACACUGAGGCACGAAAGCGUGGGGAGCAAACAGG